GAUGAACGCUGGCGGCGUGCCUAAUACAUGCAAGUCGAGCGAACGGACGAGAAGCUUGCUUCUCUGAUGUUAGCGGCGGACGGGUGAGUAACACGUGGAUAACCUACCUAUAAGACUGGGAUAACUUCGGGAAACCGGAGCUAAUACCGGAUGAUAUUUUGAACCGCAUGGUUCAAAAGUGAAAGACGGUCUUGCUGUCACUUAUAGAUGGAUCCGCGCUGCAUUAGCUAGUUGGUAAGGUAACGGCUUACCAAGGCAACGAUGCAUAGCCGACCUGAGAGGGUGAUCGGCCACACUGGAACUGAGACACGGUCCAGACUCCUACGGGAGGCAGCAGUAGGGAAUCUUGCGCAAUGGGCGAAAGCCUGACGGAGCAACGCCGCGUGAGUGAUGAAGGUCUUCGGAUCGUAAAACUCUGUUAUUAGGGAAGAACAGAUGUGGAAGUAACUGUGCAUAUCUUGACGGUACCUAAACAGAAAGCAACGGCUAACUACGUG
rnacentral:rRNA from 1 species